UCGGAUGCUGACGAGUGGCGAACGGGUGAGUAACACAUCGGAACGUGCCCGAUCGUGGGGGAUAACGCAGCGAAAGCUGUGCUAAUACCGCAUACGAUCUACGGAUGAAAGCGGGGGAUCUUAGGACCUCGCGCGGACGGAGCGGCCGAUGGCAGAUUAGGUAGUUGGUGGGGUAAAGGCUUACCAAGCCUACGAUCUGUAGCUGGUCUGAGAGGACGACCAGCCACACUGGGACUGAGACACGGCCCAGACUCCUACGGGAGGCAGCAGUGGGGAAUUUUGGACAAUGGGCGAAAGCCUGAUCCAGCAAUGCCGCGUGCAGGAAGAAGGCCUUCGGGUUGUAAACUGCUUUUGUACGGAACGAAAAAGAUCUCUCUAAUACAGGGGUCUGAUGACGGUACCGUAAGAAUAAGCACCGGCUAACUACGUGCCAGCAGCCGCGGUAAUACGUAGGGUGCGAGCGUUAAUCGGAAUUACUGGGCGUAAAGCGUGCGCAGGCGGUGAUGUAAGACAGAUGUGAAAUCCCCGGGCUCAACCUGGGAACUGCAUUUGUGACUGCAUUGCUGGAGUGCGGCAGAGGGGGAUGGAAUUCCGCGUGUAGCAGUGAAAUGCGUAGAUAUGCGGAGGGAACACCGAUGGCGAAGGCAAUCCCCUGGGCCUGCACUGACGCUCAUGCACGAAAGCGUGGG
rnacentral:rRNA from 1 species